UUAUAGUUGGCGCCGGUCGGACGUGAAAGACGGUUGAGCGUAAAAAAAUCCUUUUUCUGAUAUAGAAUUUAAUUCAGGUUCCAAUUUCCCAUUGUUGUUAGUUCGUACUUGUUUUUGGAUCUUCCUUUGCCAACAUUUUCUUCAACUCAACAGUCGGGGUAUGGGAUUUCCCAGGCUCGCUUUAUAGCGAUCCUCGUCUGUGUGUCAUCAUCUAUAUAAACGCUCAACCGUAGGUAGUUAAUUCUACCAUCCGGCCGGAUAGCCCUGGCAGCUGUGGCCAUUAAACUAAUAUACUACUACUAUAACCCAACUUUUGUUUUGUAACUUUAGAGCAUUUAGAGGUUAUGAAAUGUCACCGAAGUCCUUAAAAGAUACUUUUAUAUUCUUUAAACACAUAAUUUAACGUAAUACUUUGAAGAUAUUCGUAAUUCAACAUAUUCAGACAAAAUGAGAGUAACUACAGCGGUCAAACAAUUCGUAAAUAGUCAAACAUUAGAAGCCCUUAAAAGGUCGAUAAGUAAAACGAUUGCGGAAGCUUCCCCGCAUAUACAGGCAGUGAAAGAAAACCAAGUAAAGAUUCUAAGUCAAAAAUUUACAAAUCUUAACGACUGGUACAUGAAAAUAACAGGAUUAGAUAAGGUAAACUUAUCUCAAGAAAAGGUCACGGCACUACAGGUAGGAUCAACUAUUACAAAUCCAAGAAAAAAGAAGAGAAGUUGGCAGGCAAUUAAAUGAUAUCCGUAUAAAAUCAAUUGAGCUUCAAGAUGAAAUUCAUAAAGUUAAAAGGCAAGAUGAUUUGGAAAAAUUUCUAGACUUGAUGAAAAAAGAAACUGAGGUGUUGAAACUAGAAAAGUCAAUUGCAAAAACCUUCCAAGACUAUGAUCAAGCAGAACGUGAACUAUUCACUGCAUUUUCAGAUUCAAUCAGAGACUCGCACGAAAAGCAAAGAGCACAAAUGGAGUACACCAAAUAUUUCGGAAUAGUUUUAAGUAUCACAG
rnacentral:misc_RNA from 1 species